GAUGAACGCUAGCUACAGGCUUAACACAUGCAAGUCGAGGGGUCUUGACGGAGCUUGCUCCUGAUAGACGACCGGCGCACGGGUGAGUAACGCGUAUCCAACCUGCCCUUCAUGUUGGGAUAGCCUUCCGAAAGGGAGAUUAAUACCGAAUAACAUAUCAAGAUUGCAUGAUAUUGAUAUCAAAGAUCCGUCGAUGAAGGAUGGGGAUGCGUUUCAUUAGGUAGUAGGCCGGGUAACGGCCCACCUAGCCAACGACGAAUAGGGGUUCUGGAAGGAAGGACCCACACACUGGAACUGGAGCACGGUCCAGACACCUACGGGAGGCAGCAGUGAGGAAUAUUGGUCAAUGGGCGCAAGCCUGAACCAGCCAAGUAGCGUGAAGGAUGACUGCCCUAUGGGUUUUAAACUUCUUUUUUACGGGAACAAAUGUUGCUACGUGUAGCAAUGUGCGUGUACCGUACGAAUAAGCAUCGGCUAACUCCGUACCAGCAGCCGCCGUAACAC
rnacentral:rRNA from 1 species